rnacentral:rRNA from 1 species
GAUGAACGCUGGCGGCGUGCCUAAUACAUGCAAGUCGAGCGAACAGAUGAGGAGCUUGCUCCUCUGACGUUAGCGGCGGACGGGUGAGUAACACGUGGAUAGCCUACCUAUAAGACUGGGAUAACUUCGGGAAACCGGAGCUAAUACCGGAUAAUAUAUUGAACCGCAUGGUUCAAUAGUGAAAGACGGUUUUGCUGUCACUUAUAGAUGGAUCCGCGCCGCAUUAGCUAGUUGGUAAGGUAACGGCUUACCAAGGCAACGAUGCGUAGCCGACCUGAGAGGGUGAUCGGCCACACUGGAACUGAGACACGGUCCAGACUCCUACGGGAGGCAGCAGUAGGGAAUCUUCCGCAAUGGGCGAAAGCCUGACGGAGCAACGCCGCGUGAGUGAUGAAGGUCUUCGGAUCGUAAAACUCUGUUAUUAGGGAAGAACAAAUGUGUAAGUAACUAUGCACGUCUUGACGGUACCUAAUCAGAAAGCCACGGCUAACUACGUG